GACGAACGCUGGCGGCGUGCUUAACACAUGCAAGUCGAACGGAAAGGCCCUGCUUUUGUGGGGUGCUCGAGUGGCGAACGGGUGAGUAACACGUGAGUAACCUGCCCUUGACUUUGGGAUAACUUCAGGAAACUGGGGCUAAUACCGGAUAGGAGCUCCUGCUGCAUGGUGGGGGUUGGAAAGUUUCGGCGGUUGGGGAUGGACUCGCGGCUUAUCAGCUUGUUGGUGGGGUAGUGGCUUACCAAGGCUUUGAAGGGUAGCCGGCCUGAGAGGGGGACCGGCCACAUUGGGACUGAGAUACGGACCAGAAUCCUACGGGAGGCAGCAGUGGGGAAUAUUGCACAAUGGGCGGAAGCCUGAUGCAGCAACGCCGCGUGCGGGAUGACGGCCUUCGGGUUGUAAACCGCUGUCGCCUGUGACGAAGCGUGAGUGACGGUAAUGGGUAAAGAAGCACCGGCUAACUACGUG
rnacentral:rRNA from 1 species